AAAAACAUGUCUUUUUGAAUUUAAUUUAAAGUCUAACCUGCCCACUGNNAAUUUUUAAAUNGCCGCAGUAUUNCNUAACUGUGCAAAGGUAGCAUAAUCAUUAGUCUUUUAAUUGAAGGCUGGUAUGAAUGGUUGAAUGAGAUAUUAACUGUAUCAAUUUAAUUUAAUAUAGAAUUUUAUUUUUUAGUCAAAAAGCUAAAAUAUAAUUAAAAGACGAGAAGACCCUAUAAAUCUUUAUAAUUNNAGAAUUUUAUUUANUAUAUAGAUAAAUUUAUAAAUAAUAUUAAUAAUUAUUUUAUUGGGGUGAUAUUAAAAUUUAAAUAACUUUUGAUUUUUAANAAACAUUAAUUUAUGAAUAAANUGAUCCAUUANNUUAUGAUUAAAAAAUUAAGUUACUUUAGGGAUAACAGCNGUAAUUUUUUUAGAGAGUUCAUAUUGAUAAAAAAGAUUGCGACCUCGAUGUUGGAUUAAGAUAUAG
rnacentral:rRNA from 1 species